AAAAUUGGGCAAAUUCCGGAACCCUGGAGCUGAGCCCGGUUUAAUGGGACAGAAAUGAUUUGGGGACAUCGUUGGGACAUCAUUGGGACAUCGUUGGGACAUCGUUGGGACAUCAUUGGGGACAUCGUUGGGACAUCAUUGGGGACAUUGUUGGGGACAUCGUUGGGACAUCGUUGGGACAUUGUUGGGGACAUCGUUGGGACAUCGUUGGGGACAUCGUUGGGGACAUCGUUGGGGACAUCAUUGGGACAUUGUUGGGACAUCGUUGGGACAUCGUUGGGACAUCAUUGGGGACAUCGUUGGGGACAUUGUUGGGACAUCAUUGGGGACAUUGAUGGGACAUCGUUGGGGACAUCGUUGGGGACAUCGUUGGGGACAUCAUUGGGCCCCACGUUCAGCAAUAAUCAGAGAAAUCCUCGUCAACGUAAUUGGCGGGAAACCAACCGACCUGGGGACAGACGGACACGGUCAGGGGACACUGUGGGGACAUCUGGGGGGACAGGGGGACAUGGGGGAGGAAGGGGACAGGCUCAGGGGUGUCCCCAAUGUCCCCAAUAUCCCCAGUGUUCCCCAUGUCCCCAAUGUCCCCAAUGUCCCCAAUGUCCCCAAUGUCCCCAAUGUCCCCAGUGUCCCCAAUGUCCCCCAAUGUCCCCAAUGUCCCCCAGUGUCCCCAUUGUCCCCAAUGUCUCCAAUGUCCCCAAUGUCCCCAUUGUCCUCAGUGUCCCCAAUGUCCCCUAAUGUCCCCAUUGUCCCCAUUGUCCCCAAUGUCCCCA
rnacentral:lncRNA from 1 species